rnacentral:rRNA from 1 species
AUACGGAGGGUGCAAGCGUUACUCGGAAUCACUGGGCGUAAAGCGCGCGCAGGCGGCUAUUUAAGUUGGAUGUGAAAGCCUAUGGCUCAACCAUAGAACUGCAUCCAAAACUAUUUAGCUAGAGUGUGGGAGAGGAAGAUGGAAUUAGUUGUGUAGGGGUAAAAUCCGUAGAGAUAACUAGGAAUACCAAAAGCGAAGGCAAUCUUCUGGAACACUACUGACGCUGAGGCGAAAGCGUGGGGAGCAAACGGGAUUAGAAACCCCUGUAGUCC